UCAGCGGAGGCAGCAGAAUUUUGGACAAUGGGGGGAAAUCCCCGAUCCAGCCAUCCUGCGGUGCGAUGGUUGGCCUUCGGGUUGUAAAGCACCCUUGGCAGGGAGGUGAAAUGCGCGGAUAAUACCUCGUGCAACUGACGGUACUCUGCAGAAUAAGCACCGGCUAACUACGUGCCAGCAGCCGCGGUAAUACGUAGGGUGCAAGCGUUAAUCGGAAUUACUGGGCGCAAGGUGCGCAGGCGGUUCGGAAAGAAAGAUGUGGAAAUCCAGAGCUUAUCUUUGGAACUGCAUUUUUAACUACCGAGCUAGAGUGUACAGAGAGGGAGUGUGGAAUUCCGCGUGUAGCAGUGAAAUGCGUAGAUAUGCGGAGGAACACCGAUGGCGAAGGCAGCCUCCCCUGGGAUAACACUGACGCUCGCGCACGAAAGCGUGGGGAGCAACAGGAUUAGAUACUCCCCGUAGUCCCUGUUA
rnacentral:misc_RNA from 1 species